rnacentral:sRNA from 1 species
ACAAAACAGGCAUGAAGUCUAAAUUCUUGCCGACUUUCGCGGUCAAGUCUUGGGAGGAUAAGAUCUUAGGCGCGCUUCGUCGCUGCCGCCGGAAACGGAUUAAAGAUCACGCGAUACUUGAAAAACAAGGCUUUUAGCCUUGUUUUUUUUU